UAGCCUAGCAGCCAUAUAUAUCCCCUGCCUUUUAUUUUACUCCUAGGGCUGGAGGUCUUCCAAAGCAGUGGAGGGACUUAGAAGCACGCAUCUGACUGACUUGCACUCCUAAGCCCUCUUGCCCAGCGCACUGUUAGUGAUGAAAUUCUGCAGCACAGUGAUUUGAUGAGGCCAUGAUCUUGGAAAGAUACAAAAAGAGAUGGGCUGUUUCAGGCGGAUCAUGAGGAAAUCCUGAAUUAUAAAGCCAGUGCCUCGGAGAUGAUGAUGUAGUCCCUAUGUGGGCCGCAGAAAGCACUUCGAGCCGUGCUGGAGUCGUGCUGGGUGGCUCUGAUAGCAGAGCUAAUGGGAGCGAAUGGGAUGCAACGAACUGUUCUAAUGACACCAGCCAGGGAAGAGACAACAUGCCAUGAGAUAGCUUCUUGGAAAGGGUGUAAGGUGAGAAAUUGGAGGAUCCCCAUCUACUGAACUGCCCUGGGAUGUGGCAAGAAUAACUCCAUGGGAUUUCUACAAGAAAAGCUGCACCCAUGUGUUCAGGAAUAAGGAAUGGAAGGAAUGAAAACUGGACAGGGAGAUGAAGAAAAAUGAAAUGAAAAGAAAAUGAAACAGGGAGAUGAAGAAAAAAAAAUCUUCAUGUUCUUUGCAUGAAGAAUCAGGUGCUGGAGAGAGACUGAGCAAGCAGGACUCACCCUCUGUGAGGCUCCACUGAUGCUGACAGGAUCACACCAGUGUGAUUUGGCUCUGGCUAAGCUAAAAGCAGCACUCGGGUGACUCUGUGACAUUUCUGGGAACAGACUGAUGCCCUGGAACUC
rnacentral:lncRNA from 1 species